rnacentral:rRNA from 1 species
GAUGAACGCUGGCAGCGUGCCUAAUACAUGCAAGUCGAGCGAACAGACGAGGAGCUUGCUCCUCUGACGUUAGCGGCGGACGGGUGAGUAACACGUGGAUAACCUACCUAUAAGACUGGGAUAACUUCGGGAAACCGGAGCUAAUACCGGAUAAUAUAUUGAACCGCAUGGUUCAAUAGUGAAAGACGGUUUUGCUGUCACUUAUAGAUGGAUCCGCGCCGCAUUAGCUAGUUGGUAAGGUAACGGCUUACCAAGGCAACGAUGCGUAGCCGACCUGAGAGGGUGAUCGGCCACACUGGAACUGGGACACGGUCCAGACUCCUACGGGAGGCAGCAGUAGGGAAUCUUCCGCAAUGGGCGAAAGCCUGACGGAGCAACGCCGCGUGAGUGAUGAAGGUCUUCGGAUCGUAAAACUCUGUUAUUAGGGAAGAACAAAUGUGUAAGUAACUAUGCACGUCUUGACGGUACCUAAUCAGAAAGCCACGGCUAACUACGUG